rnacentral:lncRNA from 1 species
GAGGUCCUAAAGGAGGCGCCGCCGCCAUCGUUGUGGACCUUCGGGUCGCCAUCGAGACACCUCUGUUGAGUAUUCCUUCGCCUUCACACGGUGAUGGGCAUGGUGGCGGAAGAAGGUCGUCUUCUCAGAGCACCGCACGCUGGCCGCCGUCUUCAUCCGCGGCCGCACCAACAAGACAGGUAUGCCGCCGUGCCCUCGACGUAUUCCCUACUCCCAUGCACUCAUGGAACUCCGCAUCGCCUCUUUUGCCCUUUGGCAGACUCCACUAGAAAUUCCUAUAAAGGGGAUUUAGCUUAGAAGAACAAUAGACAAAUUCUAUAAUUAAUUGUGGAUUUCUUCUGUUAUUUAGUGUUUCUGAAUUAGGUCAAGAAUGUACUGCUUACAUUGCAGACUGUAUAAUUCGGAUGGGUCUUCUUCUACAUGGUGACUAUUGACGCAAAGAAGGAUUGCACUUCGUCCCCAUCUUCUACAUAGCCUAUACGUACGUGAUUACUCAGAUUUCAAUUUAGUGUGAAUAUUCACUAUCAUGAUACUUGUCUGCAUCAAGAUGAGUUGGUCGGUGCUUAAUCUGAAAUGGUUGCUGCUGUCCAGCCAGCAGCACCGUAGACGAGCCCAUCAACAACAUGAUGGGAACCAACCGUACUUCUUGAUCCGGUAUCUAAACCAUUGAUCGUCAGUGUUGUUACGGAAGGUGCGGAGGAGGGAGAAGGUUUUGCCGAUAACUGGCACAACGAGGUUAGGUGUAGGUCUGGGCGCUGGUGCUGGUGGAGGCGCACCACUGGAGCUCGACCAUGACUCGGUCGGACAGCACUUUGAGCCAUCAUAAAAAUAUCAUGAUCAUCUUUUGGCGAAUACAAAGGUGUUUAUAACCUCAUAAGCAAAGACAUGUAGUAUUGCUUGUAUAUUUAGAGAUACUAUGGGAAUUGAUACACUCAUAGCUUUUUUUUCUUAGUUGUAUGUUGUGUUGUCACUUUUUUCUGAUCUCUGUCAUGCAUAUGUUUUGACUAAAUUAUGGUUGUUGUUUAUGGUUGUCAAAUUAAGCCAUUGAUAGAGAUAAGCAAAAGUAGUUGUUGAUUGACCAAGCGGAGAGACAACUUAGAGACACUAUAACAGUUAGGAAUUUAAGUAGCGGGACCAAAUUAUGUCAUGCUUUAUAACAUGUCAUCGAUUCUUCAUGUAGCUUACUACUUGAUUCUAACACUUUUUCUUUGGAUGCAGCAAGAAUCAUACCCCACCCACACGGUGGCACGACGCAGAAGGGCUACAUGGGUCUAUAGCGGCGCGUGCAAUGGAAGGACACCUAUGGGAACAAGCUCACCGAGGUCUUGGAAUUCCAACCUAGAUAAACAAGUGAACUCAUUUUAACAGUUUUCCUUUUUUUGUGAUGCAGGCUAGCUCAUUCAUUAAGGGCUACUCAGCUCUGCUUUUGCCCUCCCUUUGGAGAUUGGAUUAUAUGGUACUCUGUGUUGAAGGCUCUUCAUACUAAAUUUAAUAAAUCUUGUCAUGUUUUCAUAGGUUGCCUAUUUUCUCACCCUGCAUGGAAUGGUGAAUGUUUGUAGCAUGGUCACUUGGUCAGGUUUUGAUUACUUUUAUCACUGCACAUACCUUCAGAAAAUAACCCAAUGAGGCUAGCUCGUUCUUUCUACUUAUACACCUACACAUGGGAUGCUCUGUUAAUUUUGUUGUGCAAAUAAUCAUUAUUCCUGUUGAUGAACAAUGAUAAUGGCUCCCAAAACUACAACACUUGCUGCUUCAGUGUAUGUCUACUGUAUCGUAAAAGAAUAUGAUUAUAUCUUUUGCUUUGUAGUGCCCUGUUCACGAGAAUGAUGCUGAGAAGGCAAUAGGUCAUGCAUGCUAGCUUUGGCAUGGACACGCUUCAAAACUGUCUCUGUCCAUAGGGUUACUGAUUACUGCUUGUGAUGUUUAAGAGUGAUGCACAGGAACAGGAUUAUUUUUAUGUGAAGGUGGAUAGAAAUAACUUUACUUGAGAAGGAGCUUUUCAUUGCAUCUGAUUUGUACUAUCAGUAUCAGACUUCAUUCCUGUGAAGUAACAUUUGGGCAAAAUGGGCAACAUGUGUUUGGUCAUUGCCGUGCUUUGUUUCUUAGGCUCGUGCUAUGAUAACUUGAUGACACCCCUUUAUAGACAUUAUAGUAUAGAGCAUUCUCAUGCAUUAAGUUCAGUGCAAGGAAAAUGGAUAAAGUAUGCAAACUGGAACAAGAUAGUUGAUCCUUUAAAUGGGGAGUACAAAUUUAUUGCAAUAAUCUAUAUAUGCCCUGCAGAACCUGUACACCUUGCAAUAGGUAGAGA